CCUGGCCCUCCCCCUGCGGACCAGUGAACCUCGCCCGAGGGCUCAAUAAAGAAGAUUUUUGCCCUCUUUUUCUCACCUCUCAGCCUUAUUGAUCCAUGGUGCCCUUCCAUUGCCUUUCAUUGGUGCCGAAACCCGGGAGGGGACACCUCCUAAGCCCCCCCAGAGGCUCAGGGGGACUCCCCUCCUGGUCGGAUCAGUCCUCUCCCUCAGUCAGGUCAGGCUUCUCCUCCACGGCCAUCUGUCCAUUUCGUCCGGUUACUUGCUGCCAGGUCGCAGUUGCUGCAGCUACUCCAGUCCAAUUCGGCCGACGCUAGAUCAACUGAGAUGCAAAACCCAUGUUCACAUCAUGAGUGAGUCUUCUAACUCGGACAAUGCAAUCAACAAAUUCUAAGACCAAAUUCCGGUGGCACUGGCUCCAAAGGGAAAAGACUUUGCCAUGAGCAGUUUAAAAUGCUGCAGAGAAAACUGCCGUGAAAGGCUCAGCUGUACCCCCUGCUCUGUUUCAUGCCAGGCAAGGAGCCGGCUGUAGACAUGGGAAAGAAGGAUGCCAGCUCCUGAGUGUGGAAGGAGGUGAACAGGGAAAAGCAGAGAGGACAAAAGUCACAUCCCCUCCCCACAGACCCAUACUGGGGAAGGGUGGAAGAUUUAGCUGCGAGUCAAGUUCAGAAUUUUGAUUAACAUCUUGGCAUGCACAUUCGAAUUUCAGAAUCAAGACUGUUGGCCAUAAAAAAUGACUAUAGCCUUGUGUAUUACCUGAACUGAGCAGUAAAAAAAAAGUCAUGGUCCUUCUGGGGCUUUUAUUCUGAGACAGGAACCCUGAACAGGCAGGAGAAAGGGAAUGUUGACAGAGAAACAAAGACAGUUGGCGACACACGCUGACCGCCAUGCGGACGUCCAUCAAACCCAGCACUGGCCCUGGGUACGUGCGCCUUUGCUAUUACCCCAAUACAUUUUCUUCUGCAGAGCAAGCAACAGAACACAUGCAGACCUUAAUAAAUACCACUGGGUAAUGUGACAAUGGCCAAACUCUCCUCACGGGGGAGAGAGUGUCCCCCAGUUUUGCUCCCUUUUAAUUUCCAGGGUUCAUAAGUAGCUCUAAAGCUUUGCUCUACAAGGUUGAUACAUACGAUAUUAAUGUUUCCCCUAAGCAGUAUAACAUAAAUAUAUUUGCUAUCUUGA
rnacentral:lncRNA from 1 species